CUAUACAAUUGGAGGAAAACGAUGGGUCUGUAAGAAGCUCAGUAUAACCUCCAACGAUAACGAGGGCAGACUUCUGUCUCAAAUUAACCGGUGGGGAAAUCCUUUCUUUUAUUUUGCCCCAAAUAAAUAUUUCUUGUCUGCUACACGUCGCACUAAAUGACUCACCCUCGCACCCCAUCUCUCUCAUGGGCUCCACGUCUCAUCUCCAGUUACAUUCAGCCAAGCGGGACUUUGGGUGCGUGAAUUAUUUUGACUCUGCCUGUUGACAAGACUGAAUCACCCCUGAAACCUUG
rnacentral:lncRNA from 1 species